rnacentral:rRNA from 1 species
AGGGUUUGAUCAUGGCUCAGAUUGAACGCUGGCGGUAGGCUUAACACAUGCAAGUCGUGCGAGAAAGUAUCUUCGGAUAUGAGUAGAGCGGCGGACGGGUGAGUAACGCGUAGGAAUCUACCUAGUAGAAGGGGAUAGCCCGGGGAAACUCGGAUUAAUACCGUAUACCUCCUUCGGGAGAAAGAAGGCCUCUCUUUGAAGCUUUCGCUAUUAGAUGAGCCUGCGUAAGAUUAGCUUGUUGGUGAGGUAAAGGCUCACCAAGGCGACGAUCUUUAGCGGGUCUGAGAGGACGAUCCGCCACAUUGGGACUGAGACACGGCCCAGACUCCUACGGGAGGCAGCAGUGGGGAAUAUUGGACAAUGGGCGCAAGCCUGAUCCAGCCAUACCGCGUGUGUGAGGAAGGCCUUCGGGUUGUAAAGCACUUUCAAUUGGGAGGAAAGGUUCACGGUUAAUAACCGUGAGCUGUGACGUUACCUUUAGAAGAAGCACCGGCUAACUCCGUGCCAGCCGCCGCGGUAAU